UUAACUCAAGUUUGUAUGGAAUUAUAACGUUUGUCUACGUUUGCCGCUAAGGGCGCUGUUCCAACUUCAAACAAAUUUGAGUUA
rnacentral:pre_miRNA from 1 species